ACGGGUGAGUAACGCGUGGAAAACCUGCCGUAUACUGGGGGAUAACACUUAGAAAUAGAUGCUAAUACCGCAUAAGCGCACAGCUUCGCAUGAAGCGGUGUGAAAAACUCUGGUGGUAUACGAUGGUUCCGCGUCUGAUUAGCUAGUUGGUGGGGUAAUGGCCUACCAAGGCAACGAUCAGUAGCCGGCCUGAGAGGGUGAACGGCCACAUUGGGACUGAGACACGGCCCAAACUCCUACGGAAGGCAGCAG
rnacentral:rRNA from 1 species